CCUACGGGAGGCAGCAGUGGGGAAUAUUGGACAAUGGGCGCAAGCCUGAUCCAGCAAUGCCGCGUGAGUGAUGAAGGCCUUAGGGUCGUAAAGCUCUUUUACCAGGGAUGAUAAUGACAGUACCUGGAGAAUAAGCUCCGGCUAACUCCGUGCCAGCAGCCGCGGUAAUACGGAGGGAGCUAGCGUUGUUCGGAAUUACUGGGCGUAAAGCGUACGUAGGCGGUUAUUCAAGUCAGAGGUGAAAGCCCGGGGCUCAACCCCGGAACGGCCUUUGAAACUAGGUAGCUAGAAUCUUGGAGAGGUCAGUGGAAUUCCGAGUGUAGAGGUGAAAUUCGUAGAUAUUCGGAAGAACACCAGUGGCGAAGGCGACUGACUGGACAAGUAUUGACGCUGAGGUACGAAAGCGUGGGGAGCAAACAGGAUUAGAUACCCUGGUAGUCCACGCCGUAAACGAUGAUAACUAGCUGUCCGGGCACUUGGUGCCUGGGUGGCGCAGCUACGACAUAAGUUAUACCGUCCGUCGGGUAGGUACGGUCGCGAAGAAUUAAACUAACAAAGAAGUUAGUACGGACGUGAGACGUGCCGAACGGACGACGACGAGGGAGUAGG
rnacentral:rRNA from 1 species